AUAAUUGUUGAAAUGAUACUUAUGGGUAUCAGCUUUAACCCGCUGUUCCGUCAGCGGUAGCCUACCGACCAAUGCACCUUAACGUUGUAUUAAGCGGUCGGGACAAAGUACACUUUCGUAAGACAAGACAGAACCGUGAGGGAAAGUCAAGUACGGUUAGUAUCAUACCGUAGAGUGGCGAGGCUGGAUAGUAUGGUUAGCGUAAGCGAACUGUCAGUAAACUUCGUAAUGUCACGAAAGAGUGUAAGAUACUGGUACACUCUCCCCAAAAGGGAAGCGGUCGGUUAAUCCUCUCCAUGGUAGGAUUACACGGAUAUAAGCACCGCCGGAGGAUGAGACAGAACCUAACCUAUCCGUUAGUUAUCUAUGUGGAACAUGGUAAGCCUGUAUAUCUCCUGUUAUGUCAAAGUGGCAGGUAAGCUGACAGCAAUGGAAGCUGAACGGUGUGCAGGUAUAAGAUAACAGAAAAAGCGAAUGCCGUUCUGUAAUGGAACGGAUACGGAUUGAGCCGACAUCACGAGUUGAUUUGGGCGACAUCAUCCGACACGAAAGUGGGCAGACUUCUGUGACAAUAUUCGGGAGGCAAGAUACCCGACUGUUGUCUAAUGGUAAUUCUUUACAAUUAACUUUUAGAACUUUCAAAAGAAGGA
rnacentral:autocatalytically_spliced_intron from 1 species